UACAUUUUGCAUUAUACUUCGCCAAAUAGCUUAAAAGCUGUGGAAUCGAGACAAAAUCUAUCAACUCCAUUUGAUAAAAUUCUCAUGUCCCCAAUGGAAGUUGUUCGUAGGGGUUCUGUCAACCCGUACUUGUACACCAAUCAUUUCCAUUUCGAGACGCCCUCUUCUCUAAAUAGAGAUGUUGCAAUUGUUCGAAAAAGGAAAGUUGCAGAAAAAUAAAUUUUUGUUUUCAGAAUCCGAA
rnacentral:lncRNA from 1 species